rnacentral:lncRNA from 1 species
AGUCUGAAAUCCGCGUAGAGCCGACGGUGAUGUCCCUUUGCACAGUAGUGUACGUAUUGGCAACGGCGAAGACGCGCCAUGUCGGUCACCAGGUAAAUGAGAAGGAUGCAGGCAACCCGUCUGCUACGUGCCUGCAUGCCCAAGCGUAUAUGAUCAGAAAGCCGCAACGCGGAACGUACUAAAGAUUAAAGAUUAAAGAAUGUUUCGACUGCGCACAACGUGCGCGAUGGAAGAGUAUCUCGUCGGCGCAUGCGUUAAUGACUAGCUGAUGAGGAGGAGGAAUUAUUAGCUCGAUAGGCAAUGCUACCUUCUUUCUGUGAAGAUCAAAAAGUGGGAGAACAAACGGUGUAUGUCGACAUGUCCGAUCUAGCUGAUUAAUGAACUAACUUAUAUCAACCAACAUUAUACGUGCAGGGAAACUCCCAACAGUUCAAUUUUUUUUUUUACGGUCGAGGAGGGUUUUCAUUCAUGGGCUUUGAGCAAGCCAAAAGUUGUUACAUCGGCAUGUUUACAGCAGGGUUUUAAAAUAAAGUGCAAUUUGGUUUAAAGUUUUUUUGAGUGGCCAACAGUUCAAAGUAGAUUGAACACUACUACUAUAUUUGGUUUUAUAGAAGACUGGGCGGUUAAAGCUCGGCCCAAUUCAUCUUGCAGCUCGUGGGCUGCAGAGUUAUAUCAGAUUUGGUCCAUUUCGUAGCUCAUAGCCCAUUCCACUUUUCAUCGCUGCUCUCCCCUACUCACCCACACACACACACAGAGACUCUCUCCCGCGUGACCCACCCAGGCUCCCACAAGAAAAUUAGCCUAAUGCCACAAAACGCAUUGCAACAAUAUAAACUCUGUUGCAAAUAAAUUAUACGUUUAAAAUAAUCAUGUAAACGUGUUGAACAAAAGUUUGUACAUCUAGAACAAGUUAUCAUGGAUAUGUAACCAAUAUUAUAAAAUGAUCAAGAAAUAAUACAUGUAUACAUUAAUUGUAACGAUAAUUGUACAAAUGCAGAACAAGUAGAGCACAAAAUUUGUACAUGUGGAACGUUAAAAUAUACAAACGGAACAACAUUGAAAUUAAUCGUGAAUAAUAUGAAUUGCUAAACGUAUCAUAGAAUGGAGCGAAUCAAGAUAUGACAUGGAACAAAUUUAAAAGGAAAAAAAAUCAUGCUAAUCUAACCAAAGAUAUAUACCAUUGGCUAAACAUACGCAUACACACUAUGGGCCAAACAGACAUGGGCCAAAAAGACAAAAGAAGUGACGGAGAAUCCAUCUCAAUGUAAACCCACCAGUUUUGCACUCGACGUAAAGCCGGACAAUAUUUUGGUGAACCAGGCCAGGACUGUGCUAAUGCUACGCCGUUUGCUACUUCCUCCGUUCUAUCGUUUUAUCUUUUCUAAAAAAAAAUUAGAAUGGAGGAAGUAUCUGGAAUGGACGAGGUUUACGUCAUGUCAGUAUUUUUUUCGAAUCUAUCACUACAGACGCAGACGUUCACAUACACAUACGCACACUCGUCCCUACAAACAGACGCACUUUCGAAAGAUUGAGCUGACAGAUUGACGAAAUCACUAGCGUCUUACUGUCGACAGGCACGUCACCUACUAUUAAAAGAAUAACGCUGGUUAAAUUCUGAAAUAAAUCUAAGAAAAUAUAAAAGAAUAACGCUGGUUAAAUUCUAAAUAAAUCUAAGAAAAUACAAGUGCAAGUCGAGUGCUGUAGCUUUUAGUUCGCUUAUCAUGUCAGUCGUUGAUAUCGGCCACCUAAGGUUAGUUCGCUGCUGUCCUUUUUUCUCUUCUAAUGAAGUAACAGUUUUACAUGCACAGUUAAAGGAUGCUGCUAAUGUUCUUCUUCUCUCCCGCCGGCUGUUCUUCUUCCUCUUCCUUCCUCUUCUUUCUUCUCGUCGGGUGCUUUCACCUCCCCCGCCGGCGGCCGGCGGCUACCUCGCCGCCAUCCUCCCACCCCCGCCGCACCACGACCGUCCUCCACUAACCAGUUCGAUUUCUCACCCCCGCCGCCUACCCCGCCCACCAGAGGUCCUCCGCCGCCCGGCGGCAGGCGCCCUCGCCAGCUCGCCUCAGCCGCCCUCAACCCCCUCCUCCACCGGGCCGGCCGCUGCCCCAGCCAUCCCUCUAAGGUCGCCGGCCAUCGAAUCCCCAAAUCCAUAAAGCCGCCGGCGUCCACCGCCGCCCACGGCCGGCGGCGACCUCGCCCCCGCCGCGGCAGCCAUUCCCACCCGCGGCGUAGCGCUGAUGCGGCCGCCCCCCAGGAGAGGCCGUACCUCUGUCGGAGAGAGGGAGAAUGAGGAGAAGCACCUACCUCACUGGCGCCGGUAGCCCACUGAUCUGGAGCCGAGGGCUGGGGCGCCCAUAGCCAGAGGAGGUGAGGGAGAGCGAGCGAGCGGUAUCUGCGAGGAGCGCGAGGAAGACGACGGCGCGUGGAUAAGGUGAGAGAAUUAGGUGAGGUGUGGAUAGGACCCGCUGUGCUGUUGGGAAAAACAGCCGGCUGUUGGAAAGUCGUUGCCGAGUU